rnacentral:rRNA from 1 species
GACGAACGCUGGCGGCGUGCUUAACACAUGCAAGUCGAACGAAGUGGCGAACGGGUGAGUAACGCGUAAUCAACCUGCCCUUCAGAGGGGGACAACAGUUGGAAACGACUGCUAAUACCGCAUACUGAAGGAGGGGAUUGCGUCUGAUUAGCUAGUUGGAGGGGUCACGGCCCACCAAGGCGAUGAUCAGUAGGCUGUCUGGAAGGAUGGACGGCCAAAUUGGGACUGAGGCACGGCCCAGAAUCCUACGGGGGGCAGCAGUGGGGAAUCUUCCGCAAUGGAGGGAAGUCUGACGGAGCAACGCCGCGUGGGUGAUGGCGGCCUUCGGGGUGUAAAGCUCUGUUAAUCGGGACGCGGUACCGGAAGAGAAAGCCACGGCUAACUACGUGCCAGCAGCCGCGGUAAUAC